UGGGGGUACCUUUUCCCCCCUUAAAUUGUUUAAUCAACCCAGAAAAAGCAAUGAAUUCCUCCUAUGGCAAUCAUUUGUAUCUUAUGUGGACAGACUAAAACGGAAAUCUAUCCCAUAGUACAAGGACGCAGACCCUCCUGAUGGACUUUUUUCUUUCCCUUUUUUCCUUUAAAAAAACAUGUUUAUUUAUUUCUGUUAUUUCCACAAAUUUUCUACAUUUAGCCUCGUUUUUCUUGUGUACUUGUUUCAUUGGAUGUUUUAUUAUGUCGUUUUAUCUCAGCCAUAUCAAAGUCUGGACUAGUUGUUGUCCAGUGUUGCCACCGCAACAGACAGGAAGCAGGAUGUUCUGUCGCUCCCAAUCAAAGAUCUUCUACCGAGGUGAGGAAUCACUCCGCUCGCUCUUUGAUCGGCUCAGACGCCACGUCGCGCUCGCGUUUUCUAGCCGGAAAAUAUGUUGAGAGUAUGAGCUCCGGCGCUUCCUUUUGUUCCCGCGGGGGAAAAACGACCGAGCUAAUGAUUACGUGUGACGCGUUCACUGCAUCAACAUUCAAACACGAUGCAAAGAAAAACAGACGGGUCGAAACGUUAAAGGUCAACACGAGCUGAUGUGGAGCGGGACCUCUCGUGAUGCUGCUUCUCGCCUCAGAGGACUUGGCUGGAAUUUAUAGCCUUUGUCGUUUUUGUAGGCAUAAAAUUAGACAGGACACCAGCUGAUCCAUCACAGCAACAACGCCGAGCUGACUUCUUGUAUAACUACGUGUUUGUCUUUAAACAAAAGAAAUUCUACAAAACAGAGCACCAGUUGUAGCUGUUGCUGAUGGUGGAAGGAGAGAUCAUAUGGAUCCAGCUGAGGAAACAGCUGUUGAUGGCAUUGAUGUACUCCUGCAGAGGAGAGCCGGGCUCAGCAUCGAUCUCUUGCACCUUCUUCAGGCCCCCGCUGGUCACGAACAAGCGCCGGGCCUUGCUGUCAUGAGGCAGCACCUUCGGGGUGGUGAUGUUCCCUCACCUUGCUGAACUGGCACACGACAUGUUUGAGGAUGUUGCUCGGGGCAUCGUACAGGAGGGACUCCAGACCUGGCAGAGCCACCAUGCAUGGUCAAUUGUUUGGGAGAGGCCCCGCCCACAACUUCCUGGUUUUCAUGGUGUUGCUGAUGUCAUCGCUGACAUCAUGGGUUACACCAACUGACAGGACACCAGCUGAUCCAUCACAGCAACAACGCCGAGCUGACUUCUUGUAUAACUACGUGUUCGUCUUUAAGCAAAAGGGCCUCACACAAGAGAGCAACAAAAUAUUAGAACAGAGUAGAAGAAGGCUGCGAAAGAACUACUGACGUUCUGCGAGGCCAGGGAGUGGACCAGCUGGGGCAGGAUGUCCUCAUUCACCACAGCCUCGGCCAGGUCGUAACUGUGGUCUGCCAGGCGGCUCAGAGCCAAAGCUGCUGUCUGCUGGAUGCCGGGGACCACGUCCAGCAUCAGGGGACGCAGCAGGGACAUCACACCUGCAGACGAGGGCAGGAAACACUGGAAUUAGCAGGUUUGCUCACAUGAGUGAAGACAUUCGAUUAUGGUGGUGGCGUCAAUGAAAUAUCCUCCGCACAGGACGCACAUGAGGUGAGGGUUGAGCUCCGUGAUCUUUAUCCUGGUCGUUCGAUGCAUGGUGAGAGAAAAGGAACGACAACAAUCCUGCAUGGAAACAAUAAAAAGAAAGUCAAAACACAGGCGAGGAGGUCAGCAGAGAGGAGCUGCGGGUUUCAUGGACCAUUUGGA